GGGCGGCUGCCCUAAUAAUUUCUCUGGUUUAUAUUCCCUUAAACUAUAUAUAUAUAAUUUUAUUAGGCCAGAAGUAAAGCUGCUACACAGUAUUGAACACACGUCAAGUGACGAAUUUUGUCUUCCACUGUUUUGAUAAAUUCAUCCUUUUCUCUGUCUUCCCUUCCAAGUAUGUAUGUUUCCAUAUCACCUGCAAGUUGCAACUUGUCUUCUCCUCUCCAUGUUUAUAUGUUGUGUAUUCUAACCUAUUUGUCACUCGUUGGUAAUAAGAAGACUCAUCUUUUAACUUCCUUCCAGGAUUCGAAUUUUUAAAGCAUAAAAGAAGAACCGCAGGAAGGUGGUAUGAGCUUUUCAUGUUAAGAGUCCUUUUCUGUUUCAAUGAUUAUAUUUAUUCAUAUUUGCUAAGAGUUAUUGUUUAAGGAGCGAGCUUCUUGGGUUUAAACAGUCUGAAAAUUCAAUUUGUUUAGGAAUUUCAGUUUUUCUUUUCUCCAUUUGAUGGGACUAUUCUUAAUUAUAUUAGGAAUGCAUAUAAUUGUUAAAAUUCAGUUCAUGCAGAGAAAAAUUUAAGAGAAAAAAAAACCAAUGCAGAAUUGCAAAUUGAAUCAAUGAUCUAAUGAAUGUCAUAUUUUACAAAAAUCAAGUCUGUGAUAAUAAGAAUGGUGGGAUUUUUAUGAAAUACCAACGAGGUCCAUCAAAUUCUGUAUUCUUAUCAUGGACAGAAUAUCUUUUUUUUUUCUUGAUGGGAUGGACAGAAUAUCUGUUAACCAAUGUCACUCCUUGAUAUGUUCCUUCUUAUUAUGGGUUUUUACUUGAUAUAUUCCUGUUCUGGAUUUUAUUUUUAUUUCUUCCUAUUUUGGGUGGUUUUUUAGAUUCUAUGAAUAUUACUUUCUAUUUAGCUUUUUAAAUUUAGGCUUCAGUUAUUUGUACUUGUAUAUAUAUAAUUCUUACCUUCUAUGAAUAAUGUACAACAAUUUUCCAUUCUCGUUAAUAUCCAAUUCUCUAUUCUCAUCGACUGUUGCUAGGAAUUCUUCGUCUGGCAUUUUUCUUCCUUUAUAGUUGUGACAAUUGUGUGAAUAUUGUGAUGUGUGGCAAAAAGUGACUCAACUUUUGUUGACAUCAUUGGAUUUUUUUUUUUUUUUUUUU
rnacentral:misc_RNA from 1 species